rnacentral:lncRNA from 1 species
AGGGUCACAGAGUCUGGCGGAGUGGAAACAGCUUGGCCCCGGCAGGAGGCUAGAAGGUGGAUCAAUCUUCCUGUCCUACAACUGACAAAGGAUCCCCUAAAGACCCCUGGAAGGCUGGACCAUGGCACAAGAACUGCCUUCAUCCAUCACCGGGAGCAAGUGUGGAAGAGAUGCAUCAACAUUUGGCGUGAUGUGGGCCUUUUUGGGGUGCUAAAUGAAAUUGCAAACUCAGAAGAAGAGGAAGGUACCUGGUAAGAGGCCUGUGAAUGGUUUAAUCAGAGCUGCUUCCUCAACCCUACAGUGUUUGAGUGGGUGAAGACGGCAUCCGGCUGGGCCCUGGCACUCUGUCGAUGGGCCUCUUCCCUCCAUGGGUCCCUGUUCCCCCAUCUGUCUCUCAGGAGCGAAGAUCUGAUCGCUGAAUUUGCCCAAGUCACAAAUUGGUCCAGCUGCUGCUUGCGUGUCUUUGCAUGGCACCCCCACACCAACAAGUUUGCAGUGGCCCUGCUAGAUGACUCAGUCCGUGUGUAUAAUGCCAGCAGCACCAUAGUCCCCUCCCUGAAGCACCGGCUGCAGCGAAAUGU